GGACAAGUGAAAACAGAUUGGUCAGGUGCUCCAUUCACUGCCUAUUACAGAAAUUUCAAUGUCCAGAGUGCCAAUUCUGUUGGAAACAAACCUUGGCUAACUCGAGGAAUCACUACAAAGGAUCGAAAUUGGCUUCGAUGGGCCAAAAGAAAUCACAUGAUCUAUAACUAUUGCACCGAUCGCAACCGUCAUACUCCCCGUCCUGAAUGUCACCGGCGA
rnacentral:misc_RNA from 1 species